CGAGCGAACAAAAUGGUUUGAAAACAAAUUUGCCGAUCUAAUUAAAAGCUAAAUUGUGAGCAUUAAACGGGGUACGGCACUCCACUGGGUCUCGCUCUCCGACUCGGUCCUCUCGCUCUAACUCACAGCAAAUUUAAGUGAGUCCCUAACGGGACAGCCAGCACAUGGAAAAACAUUGAAAAGCAUUUAAGUCGCCCCUCGCUUGACCUCUCUCUCUCUCUCUCUCUCUCUCUCUUCCUUUCUCCCUUUUUGCAUUUUCCCUGUGCUCUGUGCCUUUCAACAAGUUGGAAACCAAUGCAAUUUACGGCUGCUCUUCAUCAGACGGGGCGGAGAGCUGCAGAACAAGGACAUGGCCAUUACUGGGCCAACAGGGGAAUAGAAAAAAGUAUGCCAAGCCCCCACGCUGACCGCAACAGUCCGGCACGGCACAUUGAUGGUAGCUGGAGACUGCACUGCACUGCAAUGCGAUUGCUACUCCGACUCCACUCCGUAUGCGGAUACGGAUGUCUGGCAAAUUGUAAAUUAAUUGAUGAAAGCAUCGUUUAGAAGCGGACAGAACAGGGACAAACUCGGGCAAACUCAAGUGAGCCCGGACCCGGAACCGAACCGAAACCCAGUCCAACCCGGUCCAGGGCCACACAAUAUUUGAGCUGCAUUUGGCAUGUGGAACUGGAAAACGCAAUGAGAGGAACAGGGAGACAGAGAGUGAGAUGGGGCAGACAGGCACAGAGACCUGGAGGAACACUGACAAAUUGCUGGUAGCAAGAUUAAUGCUGUGCAUUAUCUUUCCUCAUUUGUCGAUUGUCAAUGCAACUGGGCCGCGUCCACAGCAGAGCUGUAUAGUUGGAGAAUCGGAGAGAACCGUAGCACAACGGCAACAACAAGGAGAGCACGCUCCAGGGCGUGGCAGCUUACCUUUUACCUGUUUUCCUUCCAUUUCAAUCGCCUGUCUUUCACAUUGUUCUCCGCCUCCCUGCUGCCGACUGCUCUCUGAUUUCCCAUUUUCCUCUAUCGUCGACAUUUUUCAAUUUGAUGAUGCGCGCACUCAAGGCUACAACAUUGUGGGCGUCCUUUUCCCUUUUUUUGUCCCACUUUUAAUGUCGACUGGCAGGGAUGCAGGUAAUUUCAUUUUUAUAUUAAUGACAGCGCUGGGCAUUUUUUACGUUUGAUGCGACUGCGUCGCGACGUUAAUCAUUUAAGAGUCUUAAAUGGAGGAAAACACUCGGCCAUAUGGGGCCCACUUAAUGGAGACAUGCAGCUGGCAGCUGCAGAAAAUAUUCGCGAAAAUAAAUAAAAUUCAACGAAAAAAAGUAAUUAGGUAAAUCAUCGAUAAUUCGCGUGACAUGUCAAUCGAUGGUUAGCCAAGAGCUAACUUGUUGUUUGCUGGUGGAAAUGGCUGUAUUAGCUGAUUAAAUUUGAGGGGCAUUUUCGCCAACUAGCUAAACCUAGCUAAACUAUAUUCACGACGACCGAUUUGAUUACACAAAAACAGCCAAUUGUGAAUGGGCCCCAUUGCUUAUUGUGAAUGGAAUUAACCUGUCCAUGUAUCGAUAGCCUAUCGAUCGAAAGGUGGUUUUGCUUAGUGCCCUUUUUGUUAUGUUAGAUUUUUGAAUGUUUUAUUAAAAAAGUGCUGUGCAAUUAAUCUUACAACAAGUGCAGGUGCCAGCUGAGCAUUUGAAAUCUAUACUUUUAUUUUUGUUUAGGCUGUAAGUGGACCCAUGCGCUGGUGUUUUAUAUUUGAUUUGAUUGAUUUGAAUGAUUUGAUAUUCCCGCCCAAAUUGUGAAUGCACCUCCAAUCGCAUACCCAGUAUCGAUACCGUGUCGAUAUGUGUUGAUCAGCUGUCGCUAAAAAGUUGUGUUCCCGCGGUUUUUUACUAAUUAUUGGAGAAUUUUAAGUUUAAUUGGUGUGAAAGCUAAGUUUAAUGAGUUUAAUAUGAAUUGCAAGUCUUUGUCAAGCAGUGAGUGUUUUUUGUUUUGUGCAAAUCCAAGAAAAACCUGUAUAUAGCGACGCAGAUUCAUAGAUGCAUGUGCUCUGUUGAGGACUACUCCUGAAAGGUAGGAGAGACGCUGAAACUUCCCAUUAACUCAGAGGCGGAAAUGCUACCAAUUAGCAGACGUAGUACCCAGUCCUGGCCCUGGCUCUGGCCCUAACAAAAAAAGGAAACAAUAUGUUCGGCUGAGCUGAAACAACUGCAGGCAGAAAUCUAAAUCCCGGUCAGGACAGUAGCAGGAGCAGGCACAGGGGUAGGCAAUGGCCAUGGCAUUCCGGAUGUGCCUGUUGGUCGUCGAAACUAGCGAACUUUCCAGACAGAACAAUACCAUGCCCCCGUCGACGAGUGUUGGCUGGAAUUUUAGGUCUAAAUCCUGUUGGGUCAUAAAAAGUGCUUAUUACAUUAUCACCUCAAGCGUGGCUGAGCCGGCUAUGUGCUCUGCCCCACCCACACCCACUCCCGGACCAGCACAGCACACAAACAGACAUUGACUUGUCCGCCCUUUCCUUUCCUCACAAAAACCGAUUCACUUGCUCUCUGGUACUGAUUUUUGUUGGGGUUUUGGCUUUAUUAUGGCUCUGGCAGCUGCGUUUUUCAAUUUUCGCUUUUUUUCGGCCUCUGGGCCUCUCACCUGAGAGCUCUGAGCCUUGAGCCGAUUUGGUUCGGUUUGAGAGUGAGUUUGGUUUUGAGUUUGGGUUUGGGCUCGGAUAGCUGCUGGCAGCCGUAGUCACUUAUUGGCAAAUGUUUCGCAGCCAAAAAGAAGGAAGGACCACGUGGCGAUGGAGGAGUAGGUGGAGGACCAGGAGCAGCCCGUGCAGGAGCUGGAGCGGAAAUGCGAAAAAUGUGUAAAUUUCGGCUUGCUUUUAUUUCUCGCAUUUUCGCCCCGUGAUGAUGUGUAGGUCGCUGAUCCGCUUUGGCAGCGCACCAAGACUUGCCAGACUUUCGAGGCGGCAUUCGAGUCGCCACCGGAACCCAUUUGAGAACAGUUUCGAGAGAGCACUGGGAGUCCCUGGAUCGAUGGCGACAGGCCGCAGCUGCGGACCAUUUAGAAGACCAUGCCGGAGACGUUUAGGCUGUGUUUUGUGGAGUCGGACAUGGAGACGAGAUAUGCGUCAUAACAAUAAAAAUUCUGGCAUUUCCCAUUUCCCCGCUGUGCGGCUAAAUAACGAAAAUAAACAAGACAAGUCGACAGGCCAUAAUAUAUCAUGGCCCAAAGGCGCUCGACGAUACACACACACACAGGCACACAUAGCAGAAGAAGGACCAAACUGGAGCAGAUCAAGCAGAAGCAGCGGCUGUAGUCUGUGGCAGGACAUCGAGCGCCGUCGCCCGUAAUGGCUGUCAUGGGGAUGGCUCCCGUUCGGCUUCUGGCCCUGGCCCUAUCUCUGCCUCGUCUGCGUUAACUGAGAAUCAAUGACAUAUCGUCAUGGCAAAUACGCAUGCCCUCGGGGGACGGUGAGGGACAUUGAGCCAUAAAAACCGAGGAAUAAAAUAAUAGCCAGGAUAAUACACCAAGCAUAUGUCAUGUCAAUGAUGCAGCCAUUAGCGACAAAUCCCGCCAGCGAGAGGAGGCUAUAAAUCUGAUCCGAUUACCUGGAGCUAAUUGCCAGACAAACUUCUCUCACUCUCGCUCUCUAGUCUAAGCCCUCGCCAAAUGGGAAGGGGAAGAGUUGCUCUACUGCCGAGUAAGACACUAAAAACCCUCGCCGGAUAUAGCCUGGAGCGAGGGCUCCAACCAGGGCUCCAAGCUACUAGCCACAAUCACACGCACGCACAGGAAGUGGCGAUAGCCAGAGAACCAGCCAACAGGAGCCAAAGCCGGGGAGUAGGGAAGUAGGGGAGCAAGGAGUCCGAGGAGGAUGCCAGAUAAGUGUGCGCGCAAUUUCCGUUUCCGCUUGGCUUGCCGUUAUCCAGCUUUGAUGCUGCGAAAAUCCACUAAGCAACAAUUAAAUCAGAGACUCCAGCGAGCGUGGAAAGCAGCUCAGAGCCAGAGCCACAGCCACAGAGAGGAGAUAAGGCCACAUACCCGAGCAGUGACUCAGACAGAGAGGCGGACCAGCAAGAGAUAUCAGUUCGAGGAUUGGGAAAACAUAGACAGAACAGAGACAAAAGUCGAAGGCCUUCCAGGUAGCCAAAUUCAAAUGAAUCAUGUCCGUGGAGCAGGAAGGAAGAGGCAGAGGCAGGUAUCAUGCAUUAGCUGACUAUUAUCACGGCCCGAAAGAGUUUCCAAACCCCCUUUCCCCAUUCCCUCACCGAACCAUUGAGCACUUUAAACGUUUACGUUUCGGAUUUCGUUGUUUUUUUGUGGAACGAAACCUUAGAACUUAUAAAUAUUUAUGGCGCACAUAAUGCAGCGCGUUGAGCACGGCCAAUAAUUCCUUGGCUUGGACUCGAGUCGAGUCGAGCGGUGCUUACUCCUUGCUAUCGGGACAAGGGACUCGUAACUCGAGCGUGUAUGCAGCUCCGGCUCUGGCUCUGGCUCUGGGUGCAGCGGAGCGAGCAUUUUCCACUGAAGGAUUUAUGCUCGCUGACAUGCAACUUAAAAGCAAGGACAACAAAACGGCUGCAGAUAGCACACACAAACCCACAGACACACACACAUCCCACAUCCUGCUAAGGAGCCAGCGAAGGAGCCAUUUCUCUCCGCACAAGGAUGCGAGUGCGAAGGCGAAUGCUUUUCUUGUGUGUAAGUGCAGUUGGGAACAACAAUUGGGAAAAAUAUGCUGAACGCAAGGAUUAGGAGCAGCAGAAGCAGAGGAAAAGCAGAACAAAUUUAUGUGACUUUUGCAUGCGGCUGCAGCAGGAUGCUGGAAGGAGGCCGCAAGCCUGCAAACUGGCUAGACAUUAGUACAAUUUCCGGUCCAGGCCACAAAAUAUUCAAUAAUAUAUUAAAGAUAUAGCCAGCCAUCCAGCCAGGCCGAAAGAGAUAUCCAACAGACACAGAGAGGAAGAGGCAUGAGGCACGAGGCACGAAUUCGACAACUCAACUGAAGCGUAGCAGGCAGGAUAAAUCUAAAUAAGACGUGCUCGAGGCUACAGCUUGUGGCUUUAGAACCAGAGAUACUCGUACCAGCAGCAGCAGCAGUAGCAGCAGUAUUUGUGCAAUGAAGUGCAAGUGAACUUCAGUCUUAAAGCGACUGAAGAUACUCGUACUCGUACUCGUACUUGCAGGAGCCAGCAAUGUACCUGCCUUUUGAGGGGGCAGCGAUGCGAACGUGAGAGACAGACUCCAUGACCACAAUGGAGGUGUGUGUUCCGCAGAGCUUUGGGGCGCCGCUACUCACGAGGCUUUCUGCUCAUCUCUGAGGCAUGAGGCAUGAAACAAAACGGAAGCGCCGCCACCCAACAGCAGUCUCUGGUGCGGCAGCGGAUGUGGAUGUGGAAGCACAGACAACGUUUAUGUGGAGUUGCAGAAAAUUGUUCAAUAAAUUUCAACACUCUUAAAUUGGCAAUGCUAUGCAAUGCGAUGCGAUCCAGCCAGUCACUGGAGAGGAAGAGACCCAACCCAGUCGCCAGUUCUCGAUUGGUUUGUCCUGGAUCCACGGGGCCGGGACAGGGGCAAAGGCAGGACAGCCUUAAAGCGUAUGUGACCGGUGAAAAUUGAUAAUCAAUCAAAUGCGGAAAGGCAACGGCGCUGACGGAAUGACGGAACGCAACGCAUCCUCCAUGAAGCCCAAGAGCCAGAGACGACCACUUAAUCACUGUCUGGUUAUCCUUUUUGUUGCACUUGUUUCCUGUAUAUCGUAUCGUAUCCCAUAUGUACAUAUGUUUGUUUGUUUGUGCCUCGGCUUUUAUCAAUUACGCUUUUUGUGGACGACUGGAGGAGUGACAGAGAUGAAUCACAGGAAGCUGCAGCGAGAGAGCCACAGCCCCAGCCACAGCCAUAGCCACAACCCAUUCCCGUUUAUUAAAUCAAUUAACGCUUGAACGAUAAUUACUGAGGCAGAGCUCUGGUGCUCCACCGAAAGACAAGGAAACUGAAUGGGGCUCCCACUCCAAGUACUCCCAAUCCAACAAGCAGUGCAAUUCUGUGGUUUCAUUCCUUCGAUCGAAGGAAACUCCUGUCUUGAUGGAAAAACCGCAACACAAAUUUCAACAACAAUGUACAUUUUCCUACCAAAUGCACAAAUGCAAUUUUCAUGUAUCUGGAUCUAUGUGUUGUUGCUGUUGCUGCUGCUGCUGCCGUGUGUUGCAAUUAAUAAAAUGUCCAAGUAAAUUGUGAGCCACCGCAGCCCGAGAUGUCUUCCGACAUCUGCCCUCGCCACGUGCCACAGGUGUCCCCUGCCGCCCGUGUGUGCCAUUAUGUUGACAUGUGGGCGCCUGCUGCGGUCGACUGUGACUGGAGAAAAGUGCAAGUGCAAUCGACAUUCAACAAUUGAAAGCCACUGGCACUGGCACUGGGUAAACGGCAUUCAAUGCUGUCCCGGCAACCGCAACAACAGGGUGUCUUUGGGGUCAGACCUGCUCGUAUUCAAUUACAAAAGGAUUCCAAAUCAAAGCGAGCGACAUUCAGAGCCAGCAUAAUUCGGCAGUGCAGGCAGGAAAGGAACCCUAAACACCCUCGCUGGUAGGAGAAUUCUCUAAAACAGAGCACCAGUGAUAUGGCCAUUCGCGAAAAGGGUAUGCAACGAGCAGAAUUAUGAAUUCUGCAUAGUUCGGAGCCAAAGACAAACAUCAGACACAAAGGCAGCCCCAGACAGGAGUCAAAUAAUUAAUGGCCAGCAGAGGGGUGUGCAGGAGCAAAGGAGAGAAGGCAAACAAACAAGCCCGAAAAACGAGCAGAAACAAAACCGAAACGAAACUGAACUGAACUGAACCAAAAAAAUCUCAGGAAAGUUCACCUUGGAAGCGCGAACUUUGGAUACCCUUUACGAGGCUUUAAUCCUUUUUAUGGUUUAUGGUUCGAUCCUCCUGCCGUGAGGCAUUUCAUUAUGUUUCAAUGUUUCUUUAAGAGGAUCCCAGGGUGCAUACAUCUUGGAUAAAUCCUCAUUACCCUCUCGUUGAAGGGUACAAAAAUCAGCCAAAAACAGAUUUGCAUGAACACAAAACGUAGACUAAGAGGCAGGACAUUGGGGGGGAACACAUACGAGUAGGUAUGUGUGGGCUGGAUCUGCCAUCCUAUAGCCGUCGUCGGUUGCCUUGGAUGCCGUCAGUAGCUUGUUAUCCACUGUCCUCCCUCUCCCUCCUACUCACCGGGAGAUCAACCUGCCCGUUCCCGUUCGGCUCGUCUAGACUUUAAGUUGGCUAAUAGCCGACACUGAUGCGGCCGUCGCUGUCGCUAUCCGACUGUUCUUUUCCUCCUCCUUCAGCUGCUGCUGGUUGCUAUAUUCCUCUUUUUUUAUUGGACUGUGGACAUCCGUCCGAGUGCUCUUUGGCCACGGAGCAGAGAAUUAGUAGUAAACCGAAUUUACGCUUUUGUAUUACUUAUUUGUUCCAUUAUUUGUACGGAUGUGGUUCCACGGGAUCCACGGAGUCCGAGAAUGGAGCUUUGGCUUUCGCUUUUAUUUGACUUUGGCCUUUUUUGUGACGCUGUUUUUUCUCUUUGGCCCAAAACGAACUCUGCUCUUGAUAAUGAAAAAUAAACGUGGCUUCUGCCUUCUGGCCACACCCCUCUAGCCUCUUUCUCUCUGAGUGGAGUGCCCUUUGUGUGGGUGGGUUGGAAAUCCGUGAGCAUAAAGAUUAUAACACACACAGGACGACAGGACUGACAGAACUGACAGACAGGCGGAGAGCAACAGGAAAAGGACUUAAUUUCGAGAGCUGUUCGAAGAUCCACUCAUGUCCUCGAUAGGAAGUGGACUCAGGAGCGACUCCUGCCAGCGAGAAAUCAUAAAUUAAUCGGAUUUAAGCAGCUCAGUAGCUUAUUUUUAUGUGCCCCCUACGGAAACCCGGGAACCUCUGCUCCUGCUUCUACUAUCUCUUCUCUGUUGUUUAAUGAAAGAGGGAUGCGACUGGGAAUCGUGUACCGCAUCUUUGAUGAGCAGUGGCAGCGUUUAAAGCCACCAAUUUGCUGGCUCCUCAGAUGGGAUGUCGAUGAGGAGGAGGAGCCCGAUGAAGGACUUCUUCUGCUGAAGAGCUAGAGAAGUUGACAUGAUUGGAUACUGAUGAUGACUGAGUUGAUGAUUUGUUGUCAAGGUGCACGCUCCUCAGCCCCCGGCCCCGCACCGAAUGGCAGUUAGAGCAUCGACUUGAGUCGAGAGUGGAGUUCCGCUGCAUAGGACUCGGUGUCCUGGCAACGCAGGAGCUCAUUACGAGGAAAGUUUUUACGCAGGAGCAGCGGCAUUCCUUCCUUCCUUCCGAAGGAUGCGGCUUAAGUGCGCCAUUCUAAAUUCAAUUGAGCUUGAAGUGUUCCAAAAACGAUGGCAGGCCACGAGGAGUCGAGGUGGAUUCUGCCCCUGACAGGUCAACCAGGAUAGGGGAUAGUUCAGGGAGGGUCCCGGCGCAGCGCGAUUCAUGAGCAGACAAACCAAACAAUCCCCAACGAUUGGUGGGAAUGGGACGGCGACUUGGAGCCGUGUAAUCCAUAAAUAUUUCCAUUUCAAAUUGUUCAAAUUGCAUUGCUUUUAUGCUUUGUGAUUUUCGCAUAAAUCUCUCUCUUGACUGAUGCACUUUUUGGCCAACAUUGUUCGCGGCCUGGCCUUCGUUCUCGUUGGCUAAUUGACAGGGACGGACGGCUGCCGAUUCUGUGGAUGUGGAUGCCACUAAUUGGGACAGGACAGGACGUUGCGUCAGGCGUCGCGGAGUGUCUGAUUUUUAUUGAUGGAUGACAUGCAACAAACCAAUUUAAAUGCAAGUCCAUUUUAGUACUAGUGCUCAUAUACAUAUUUAGUUUUUUAAGUACUUACAGAUCUUUGUGCGGGUAGUGGGAGUGAGAGUGCGGCAUUGACACCGAAAACAGCUGUUAAAAUAGAAAACUGCCCAUCUAGCACGUGCCACGCCUACUAGCCUAAAUGCCGCUCAGUGGAACCCAUUUGUAAUGCCAAAGUAAACAGCAAAUAGAACAUAAAACAGAACACAAAACAGAAAUUUGUGUGUUUUAUGUGUUAUUUCUGUUUCACGUUACAUUUGGAACACAGCAAAGUACAUACCCAACCUACAGUUGGUGGGAGGGGGAAUGUGCGGACAAUUACCUACAUUUCUAUAUGUCUCUGAAUCAAUAAUUUCAGCAAUGCCCACCCCCUCGACUCACAAUAACAAAGUCUAACUCACUCCCUUCUUGCGCAUACCACAUUCCGAUGGCAGAAAUUCUAUUUAUGACGGGAACAGUAUGGAAUAUGUCCCCCCUGGCACCCCCUGGCAUUGGUUUCUGAUAAGACGCGGUGGGGCGACGCUUAUCGGCAGGGGUCGCAGAUUGAGUCUGAGUCAGAAAUGGAACUGCGGAUUCCGUCAGGGCGGCGAUGGGGAGCUCUAUGGUUCAUGGUUCGAUCCAUGAUUCAUCCGAGUCCGUUGCCGAGUUUCAUGCCUGAAUUCACUUUAAACCCGGUUUCUAAUGACGAAAUAUUGAAAAGAUGAUUAAUAAUAUUGAUUCAUUUAGUGGACUGUAUGUAUGUUAUAC
rnacentral:misc_RNA from 1 species